UCCUGAGCGCGUGUUUCACGACGAUGUUGGGAAAGCUGACGCCCUUGAGCCGCGCGGUGCGGAUAUAUUGCGAGGUCAUCACUUCGGCCAUCGAGGCCCGCGUCAUCCGGGCGAUAUACCCCAUGCCAUAGGCGGCGAUGGUCAGCACCGGCAGGAAGAAAUUCUCGAAGGUGACAUUG
rnacentral:ncRNA from 1 species